CGCGACGUAGUUUGAUCAUGGCUACGAGGAUGAACGCUGGCGGCGUGCUUAACACAUGCAAGUCGAACGGGCUUUUUAUUGAAACCUAGUGAUAUAAAAGCUAGUGGCGGACGGGUGAGUAACGCGUGGGUAACCUGCCAUAUACAGGGGGAUAACACUUAGAAAUAGGUGCUAAUACCGCAUAAGCGCACAGUAUCGCAUGAUACAGUGUGAAAAACUCCGGUGGUAUAUGAUGGACCCGCGUCUGAUUAGCUAGUUGGUGAGGUAACGGCCCACCAAGGCGACGAUCAGUAGCCGGACUGAGAGGUUGAACGGCCACAUUGGGACUGAGACACGGCCCAGACUCCUACGGGAGGCAGCAGUGGGGAAUAUUGCGCAAUGGGGGAAACCCUGACGCAGCAACGCCGCGUGAAGGAAGAAGGUCUUCGGAUUGUAAAGCUCUGUUGCAGAUGACGAAGAAGUGACGGUAAUCUGUGAGGAAGCCCCGGCUAACUACGUG
rnacentral:rRNA from 1 species